GUAUCCUACGGGGGGCAGCAGUGGGGAAUAUUGCACAAUGGGGGAAACCCUGAUGCAGCGACGCCGCGUGAAGGAUGAAGUAUUUCGGUAUGUAAACUUCUAUCAGCAGGGAAGAAAAUGACGGUACCUGACUAAGAAGCCCCGGCUAACUACGUGCCAGCAGCCGCGGUAAUACGUAGGGGGCAAGCGUUAUCCGGAUUUACUGGGUGUAAAGGGAGCGUAGACGGUAUGGCAAGUCUGAUGUGAAAACCCAGGGCUCAACCCCGGGACUGCAUUGGAAACUGUCGGACUAGAGUGUCGGAGAG
rnacentral:rRNA from 1 species